AACGUAGGAGACAAACGUUAUCCGGAGUUACUGGGCGUAAAGGGCGUGUAGGUGGUUGCGUAAGUCUGGCGUGAAAUUUUUCGGCUUAACCGGGAAAGGUCGUCGGAUACUGCGUAGCUAGAGGACGGUAGAGGCGUGUGGAAUUCCGGGUGUAGUGGUGAAAUGCGUAGAGAUCCGGAGGAACACCAGUGGCGAAGGCGACACGCUGGGCCGUACCUGACACUGAUGCGCGACAGCAUGGGGAGCAAACGGG
rnacentral:rRNA from 1 species